rnacentral:tRNA from 3 species
UCCUCUGUAGUUCAGUCGGUAGAACUGCGGACUGUUAAUCCGUAUGUCACUGGUUCGAGUCCAGUCAGAGGAGCCA